rnacentral:lncRNA from 1 species
AAUAGUAGCUGCCCUAGGGCUCCCCUUGCCAUGGCAAGGGGUAACUGGUGGAAAUGCUCUAAGCCAAGGCUAGCUAAUUUCUGAGUUUUACAUUUUGUAAGUCAUCCUUUUUUCCCUAUUAUAUAUCAAUGGAAACAAUUGAAACAUUUAAACCCACACAUAUCCAAACAAGCCUAUAUGCCUUGCUUAUCAAAGAAAAAUGGCCACCACUAUUCCUUCACUAACCCAGAACAUCAUUCUUG